ncrna:unclassified sequences Glutamine riboswitch
ACCGUUCAACUCUUAUGAGUCGGAAGUAAGCGAAAGCUGAAGGAACGCACC